CCCUGGCUUCCCCAUCGGAGGGACUGCCGUUUGCUCUCUUGAUGGCGCGCGGUGCUCCUUCACGUCAGCCCGCGGACCCUCAGCCUUUCGGCCCCCAAGCAAACGAACCUCUCAUGUCACUUUCUGCUGGGUUCUGGUGUUUUCUGCAAGUUCCGCGUUUCGCGUGCUCCUGUUGUAUGCACAAGUGUAUGGAGGGGAUGGAGGAGAAAUCAGAUCAUCCCAGACACAGCAAACACACAGAACGACUGGCACACGUGUGACAGUCAUUGCAGGAUGUCAGUGGUGUUUGCAGAAGAGGUGGCAAGAGCCUGGGCACCCUGUCUGAGGGCUCACAGGUUUCCUUAGGCCAACGCGUUUUCACUGGAAGCUCAGAAAUGGAAUUCCUGCAUUCCCUAACCAGGGAUCGAACCUGUGUAUCCUGCAGUGGAAGCUCAGAGUCCUAACCGUUGGACCACCAGGGAAGUUCCA